CCCCUCUCAGGGUCGCACCUGGAGAGUUUCCAGUACUCUGCCAGUCUCGGCUACAGGAGGGAGAGUCAAACAGCGGCCUGUCCAUUCCAUUCCUAGCUUGGCUAGUGGCUAGUGAGUGGAAGGCAAUCGGCUACAGGU
rnacentral:snoRNA from 1 species